rnacentral:misc_RNA from 1 species
GAUGAAGAACGCAGCGAAAUGCGAUAAGUAAUGUGAAUUGCAGAAUUCAGUGAAUCAUCGAAUCUUUGAACGCACCUUGCGCUCCUUGGUAUUCCGAGGAGCAUGCCUGUUUGAGUGUCAUGAAAUUCUCAACCUUUUCAGCUUUCUUUGUUGAUCAGGCUUGGAUGUGGGAGUAUGCGGGCUUCUCAGAAGUCGGCUCUCCUGAAAUGCAUUAGCGGGACCUUUGUUGCCUGGCUUUGGUGUGAUAAUUAUCUACGCCAUUGUAGUCAAGCAGCUUAAAAUGAGGUUUCAGCUUCUAACCGUCUCCCCUGAGACAACUUUUUGACAAUUUGACCUCAAAUCAGGUAGGACUACCCACUGAACUUAAGCAUAUCAAUAAGCGGAGGA